GGCUCUUUGGUCUAGAGGUAUGAUUCUCGCUUUGGGCACAAUUUGCGAGAGGCCCCGGGUUCGAAUCCCGGAAGAGCCC